rnacentral:rRNA from 1 species
GACAGAGGUGGCAAGCGUUGUUCGGAAUUACUGGGCGUAAAGAGUCUGUAGGUGGUUUGUCAAGUCUUUGGUGAAAGGCCGUGGCUUAACCAUGGGAAUGCCAAAGAGACUGGCAGACUAGAGGCUGGGAGAGGGAAGCGGAAUUUCUGGUGUAGCGGUGAAAUGCGUAGAUAUCAGAAGGAAGGCCGGUGGCGAAGGCGGCUUCCUGGAACAGACCUGACACUGAGAGACGAAAGCGUGGGGAGCAAACAGG